UCAUCUGAGUUUCCAUUAUUUCUUAUGGGGAAAUUUGCUUUGAUGUACAAGUGCUUUGGAUUACAAGCAUGUUUCCAGAAGGAAUUAUGCUCACAAACCAAGGUUUUACUGUAUUUAUUUUCAAAAGCAAAAGUCUCGAACAAAUGGGUGUGUUUACCAUCAUUACUUUCGUAACCUCCAUUCAGUACUCAACUCACUGUGGUCUAGUCUGUUCCCAGCACUCCCCUGAAACUGCCCUCAUUAAUUAAAGUCACCAAGAGCCCCCAAAUUUCAACAUCCAGUUACUGCUCCUGAACUUGUGCUGGUGACCUCCCUGCAGUGUUGGCCACGAUUGGUCGCUUCCCUCAGCACACUUUCCCCUUCACGUGUGCACUUCCCCAUUUCCUAGAUCCCCUCCUACCUUUGUGAUCCCUCCUCCUUUGUGACCUUCCUGAGCUGGCUUUGCUUCAUAACAAACACAUCUGUUCUUGUCACUAAAAUCCUUCAGGGGUCUCCCGCCUCUCACAGGAUCCAGUCUAGAUUCCUUAGCCAAGCCCCUCAGGUCAGCCCCUGCCUGCCUCUCCCACUCAUCCAGUAACAACCUGUCGAGCCUUCACCCCAUCAGCCUCUUUACAGUCUCCCAAACAUGUCAAUGCUGUUUCACGCUUCUGUACCUUUUGUACAAAAUGUUCUCGACGCCACCCCCAUCCUCCCCUGAGGAAUUCCAGCUCAUCUUCUAAGACUCAGAACAAAGAUAGCUUCAUUUCAGGGAGUUGUAGGCAGGACAAUACCAGUGAAAGAUAACGGCCUUGGCAUCAAACAGACCUGCACCCAGUUCUGGUUCUUCCACUUACUCGGUGUGAAGCAAGGGGCCAGGAGUUUGGAAGUGGCCCAGUUGGGAAAUACUAGCUUGGGGUCUCUCAGGAGGUUGACUGGGGUUUAAGUCAUCUGUGGACUUACCUGGAACUGGAGGGUCCACUCCAAGUCUUCACUCCACUCACACAGCUGGCAGACUGAUGCUGAUUAUUGGUGGGUGUCCAGUUCCCCAUCAGGUAGGCCUUCCAGAGGCCUGAGUGUCCUGGUGACUCGAAAACUGGCCUUCCCCAGAGCAAGACUUCCAAAAGGCCAACACAGAAGCUGUAACAUCUUUUAUGACCUGGUCUCAGAAGUCAUACACCAUUCCUCCCACCUGACUCUAUGUACAGAGCCAUCCCUGAUUGACACUGGAAAGGACUCCGUGAAGUCGUGAAUACCAAGAGAAAGCAAUCGUGGGGCUGUAUCAAUGUGGCUACCACAUCCCUUGAUGUAGUCUAAGUAAUAAAGACUUUAAAGCAGGGCAUUUGAAGCUUUCACAUGUGUUUGCAGGACAAGGGAGCAAAAGUCAAGGAGUCUAUUUGUGAUGAUCUCAGCCUGCAUUACCAUCAUAAGAGGGUCUGAAGAGCUUACUUGGAAGCUGCUUUAGAUAUCAGAAAACUUUGAGAAAUUCCUUCCAUCCAUCUUAGCUGGCAACUCUGAAGCAGGAGAUUCUCUAGAAGCUACCGUUGGCAAUCUCAGCUGACUACUGUACCCGAGAGGUUCUUUCAUAGGAGAGGACCCUGCAGCUGCUGAGAACUUCACACCUGCCUUUGAUGAGCGUGGACUUUCCCACUCCUCUGCCUUCCAAUCUCAUGCAAAUGCCUCUCAGUGACCAACAUGACCCUGGGAUCAUAAAGAGAAGGGAACUCUGGGAAAUGUCAUUCCUGGCCUCUCCUUGGGUGAUGCAGGGAAUCUGUGGGUGGAAGUGGGUGGUGGUGAUACUGAGCUGACUACAGAUAAUCCAGCUGAAACUUUGGGGGGUUUUCAGUCAGUGAAACAUGCAUAAUACUAUGCAAGUUUGACUUGAAAUUCUCCCUUCUCCAAAGACAGUAAAAACAGUUUUUAAAAAAUGUUUUUAAUAUUCAUUUAUUUUUUGAGAGAGAGACAGACAGAGCACGAGAGAGGGAGGGGCAACAAAGAGAGGGAGACACAGAAUCCAAAGCAGGCUCCAGGCUCUGAGCUGUCAGCACAGAUCCUGACGUGGGGCUCAAACUCACAAACCGCGAGAUCAUGACCUGAGCCGAAAUGAGAUAUUAACCAACUGAGCCACCCAGUUGCCCCUAAAUGUUUUUAAGUAAGAUAAGGCAUGCUCACAAACAAGAAUGAGAUAGCAACGAACAAGGGCUGAAGCCAUAAAUCUAUGAAUCCAGAAAUGGACAGAGAGGGUUAGAAUCCUAGCCCUUUAGGGAUGUGAUGGACUUAGUGUUUCCCCUUAAAAUUCAUGUUAAAACCCUAAUCCCCUUGUGAUAGUAUUAGGCGUGGAAACUUUGAGAGGUGAUUAGGUUUAGCUCAGGCCAGGAGGGUAGAGUCCCCAUAAUAGGAUUAGUGUCCUUACGAGAAGAAGAAGAAAAACCAGAGUUGCUUAGUAUCUCCAGAAGCACACAAAGAGGUUAUGUGAGCAUAUAGUGAGAUGGCAGUCAUCUGAAGCCAGAAGGCCAGCCCUCCCCAGGAACUGAAACUGCCGGCAUCUUGAUCUUGGACUCCAGAACUCUGAGAAAUAAACGUCUGUUGGUUAAGCCACCUAGCCUGUGGUGUUUUAGCAUAGCAGUCUGAGCUAACUAAGAUGAGGAAUUUCAACUCCCGAAGCAUGAUGAGACUUAAAAGCACCCUGUGCCUGCCAAGACACCAGAGCUAGGCUCACCUCAUCAGCGAUGACCACUAAAAGCUGAGACCACACUUAGGACUGUGGUUUGUUAACAGUUUGGCUUUACAUCAAGUGAUUGUCACCCAUCCACAUCUUGAAGAGAAAGGCCUUACAUGUAUUAUCUCCUUAUUGAAAUUCACAACUUUCUUACAUUAGUUUCAUCUUUUUAACUUCCCCAAAUUAUUUCAUUAGAUUUACCAAUAAAUUCUACUCUCUUUGCCUCA